UAGGGAAUAUUGGACAAUGGGGGGAACCCUGAUCCAGCCAUGCCGCGUGGAGGAAGACUGCCCUCUGGGUUGUAAACUCCUUUUAUAUGGGAAGAACCGUCCUCAUUGAUGAGUGACCUGACGGUACCAUAGGAAUAAGCACCGGCUAACUCCGUGCCAGCAGCCGCGGUAAUACGGAGGGUGCAAGCGUUGUUCGGAUUUACUGGGCGUAAAGGGCGCGUAGGCGGCGCGGUAAGUCACUUGUGAAAUCUCUGAGCUUAACUCAGAACGGCCAAGUGAUACUGCUGUGCUAGAGUGCGGAAGAGGCAACCGGAAUUCUUGGUGUAGCGGUGAAAUGCGUAGAUAUCAAGAGGAACACCUGAGGCGAAGGCGGGUUGCUGGGCCGACACUGACGCUGAUGCGCGAAAGCCAGGGGAGCAAACG
rnacentral:rRNA from 1 species